rnacentral:tRNA from 1 species
AGGGAUGUAGCUCAAUUGGUAGAGUAUUUGCCUAUCAGACACGAAGCCUUGGGUUUGAUUCCCAGCAUCACAU